rnacentral:rRNA from 1 species
UACGUAGGGUGCGAGCGUUAAUCGGAAUUACUGGGCGUAAAGCGUGCGCAGGCGGUUGUGUAAGACAGGUGUGAAAUCCCCGGGCUUAACCUGGGAACUGCGCUUGUGACUGCACGGCUAGAGUACGGCAGAGGGGGGUGGAAUUCCGCGUGUAGCAGUGAAAUGCGUAGAGAUGCGGAGGAACACCGAUGGCGAAGGCAGCCCCCUGGGAGUAACACUGACGCUCAUGCACGAAAGCGUGGGGAGCAAACAGGAUUAGAAACCCCGGUA